rnacentral:rRNA from 1 species
CUCAAAGAUUAAGCCAUGCAUGUCUAAGUAUAAGCAAUUAUACCGCGAAACUGCGAAUGGCUCAUUAAAUCAGUUAUCGUUUAUUUGAUAGUACCUUACUACUUGGAUAACCGUGGUAAUUCUAGAGCUAAUACAUGCUAAAAAUCCCGACUUCGGAAGGGAUGUAUUUAUUAGAUUAAAAACCAAUGCCCUUCGGGGCUCCCUGGUGAUUCAUAAUAACUUCUCGAAUCGCAUGGCCUUGCGCCGGCGAUGGUUCAUUCAAAUUUCUGCCCUAUCAACUUUCGACGGCUGGGUCUUGGCCAGCCAUGGUGACAACGGGUAACGGAGGGUUAGGGCUCGACCCCGGAGAAGGAGCCUGAGAAACGGCUACUACAUCCAAGGAAGGCAGCAGGCGCGCAAAUUACCCAAUCCCGACGCGGGGAGGUAGUGACAAUAAAUACUGAUACAGGGCUCUUUUGGGUCUUGUAAUUGGAAUGAGUACAAUUUAAAUCCCUUAACGAGGAACAAUUGGAGGGCAAGUCUGGUGCCAGCAGCCGCGGUAAUUCCAGCUCCAAUAGCGUAUAUUAAAGUUGUUGCAGUUAAAAAGCUCGUAGUUGAACCUUGGGCCUGGCUGGCCGGUCCGCCUCACCGCGUGCACUGGUCCGGCCGGGCCUUUCCCUCUGGGGAACCGCAUGCCCUUCACUGGGUGUGCUGGGGAACCAGGACUUUUACUUUGAAAAAAUUAGAGUGUUCAAAGCAGGCCUAUGCUCGAAUACAUUAGCAUGGAAUAAUAGAAUAGGACGUGUGGUUCUAUUUUGUUGGUUUCUAGGACCGCCGUAAUGAUUAAUAGGGACAGUCGGGGGCAUCAGUAUUCAAUUGUCAGAGGUGAAAUUCUUGGAUUUAUUGAAGACUAACUACUGCGAAAGCAUUUGCCAAGGAUGUUUUCAUUAAUCAGGAACGAAAGUUAGGGGAUCGAAGACGAUCAGAUACCGUCGUAGUCUUAACCAUAAACUAUGCCGACCAGGGAUCGGACGAUGUUAUUUUUUGACUCGUUCGGCACCUUACACGAAAGUACAAGUUUCUGGGUUCUGGGGGGAGUAUGGUCGCAAGGCUGAAACUUAAAGCG